GCCUAAUCCGAAGUCCCACAACUAACGCAAGCUUUCUCGACGUCGGCGACGCAAACAGAGAAAACUACGGUAGAUAUACCAGGGCCAUAGAGGCCCUUCCGGCCCCUGCAGCGAUUCUACUAGGGUUUUGCGAAAUCGCGGCCGGAGCUCCGCCCGAGGCUUGAAUUCGGAAGCAAGAAGUGGCGGCGGAGAUGGACGGCGACGACGAGGGAGUGGCGGGGCCGAUGGGCGACGAGGCGAUGUUCUUGAACGGCGGCGACGAUGGCCACCAGCAGCAACGAGGGAUCAAGGCGGCGAUGGGCGGCGAGCAGAUGGACGUGGAGGCCUACGCGUCGCUGUACACCGGCCGGACCAAGGUGGUGCGGCUGCUCUUCAUCGCGGACCGCUUCGGAAACGACGGAAUACAGCUCGAGGCCCUCCGCCUCGCCUACGACGAGAUCAAGAAGGGCGAGGACUCCCGCCUCUACCGCGAAGUGGCCGGCAAGAUAGCCUGUCGCCUCGGGCCUCAAUACGCCCUCGACCAGGCCUGGGCCGACGCCGUCGCCCGCCGCGCCGAGCAGCGCAAGGACAAGCUCGAUAACGAGCUCAAUGUCUAUAGGACGAAUUUGAUCAAAGAGAGCAUCAGAAUGGGUUACAAUGAUUUAGGAGAUUUCUAUUAUGCUCAUGGUCAACUUGGGGAUGCCUUUAAGAAUUAUGUCCGUACCCGUGAUUAUUGCACUACUUCAAAACACAUUAUUCAGAUGUGUUUGAAUGUUAUUCUGGUCAGCAUCGAGUUGGGCCAGUUCUUGCAUGUGUCGAACUAUGUUGGUAAAGCUGAGCAAACACCAGAGUCGCCGGACCCUAUCACAGUUGCGAAGCUACGAUGUGCUGCAGGAUUGGCUUACAUGGAGGCGAAGAAGUACAAGCUUGCUGCUCGAAAGUUUUUGGAAACUGGGCCUGAACUAGGGAACAACUAUACAGAGGUGAUAGCACCCCAAGAUGUUGCUACAUAUGGUGGACUUUGUGCACUUGCAUCUUUUGACCGCACAGAACUGAAGAACAAAGUCAUUGACAACAUUAACUUUAGAAAUUUCUUGGAGUUGGUGCCUGAAGUAAGGGAGCUUAUACAUGACUUCUAUGCAAGCAUGUGUAGGUUUAUCUCCCGCAUAAAAGGCUUGGGUUGGCAAGUGCAAUGGCGGGGGUUCAAGUUCUGGAGCAGCUACUUUGUACCCGAAAAAAAGCCAAAUAUUAGCUUGUCCCCAGUCCGCCCAUCCCAGGACUCCGGAGUCCUGGGACCAGAAUUGAUCGCUAUGCUUCUUGCCUAGAGUAUCUUGAGAACCUUAAACCAAACCUGUUGCUGGACAUUCACUUACAUGAUCAUGUUGGAGCACUCUAUACUCAAAUUCGCCACAAAGCUAUCAUCCAAUAUACGCAUCCAUUCAUUUCUGUGGAUCUCCACAUGAUGGCCGGUGCCUUUAAAACUAAUGUUUCUGGAUUGGAGAAAGAACUCAAAGCUUUGAUAACUGACAACCAGAUUCAGGCCCGGAUAGAUUCGCACAACAAAAUUCUUUAUGCAAGGCAUGCUGACCAAAGAAAUGCAACAUUCCAGCGUGUCCUACUAACUGGUGUUGAGUUUGAGAGAGAUGUUAGGGCGAUGUUGCUGAGGGCCAAUCUCCUCAAACAUGAAUACAACCAAAGGGCACCAGCCAGGAAAGCUUGAGACAGAAUGCUUAUCACCCGAAUUGAUUUUUAGCUGAGGGUUUUUUAAUACUGCGAUCGCACCUCUUAUGGAUGGAAGCUAGUUUCCUUUUGUGCAUUCGUUUGUGAAAUCCAUGGUUAGAAUUUGUGGGGAUGUCAUGUAUUUGCCUGAUUGGGCCAUGAAAUUGAAACAUUUUCAUUUGUAUGGUGGCUGCGAUUUUAUGUACAUGCUUUGAGGUUGGAUA